CUACCAUGCAGUCGAGGGGUAGGGUUACUUCGGUAAUCUGAGACCCCNCGCACGGGUGCGUAACGCGUAUGCAAUCUACCUUUUACUAUGGNAUAGCCCAGAGAAAUUUGGAUUAAUACCAUAUAGUAUAUUUGAAUGGCAUCGUUUGAAUAUUAAAGAUUUAUCGGUAAAAGAUGAGCAUGCGUCCCAUUAGUUAGUUGGUGUGGCAACGGCAUACCAAGACGAUGAUGGGUAGGGGUCCUGAGAGGGAGAUCCCCCACACUGGUACUGAGACACGGACCAGACUCCUACGGGAGGCAGCAGUGAGGAAUAUUGGUCAAUGGAGGCAACUCUGAACCAGCCAUGCCGCGUGCAGGAUGACGGUCCUAUGGAUUGUAAACUGCUUUUGUACGGGAAGAAAACAAACUACGAGUAGUUAAUUGACGGUACCGUAAGAAUAAGGAUCGGCUAACUCCGUGCCAGCAGCCGCGGUAAUACGGAGGAUCCAAGCGUUAUCCGGAAUCAUUGGGUUUAAGGGUCCGUAGCGGCCUUAUAGUCAGUGGUGAAGUUUUUGGCUUACCAAAAAUUGCCAUUGAUACUGUAGGGCUUGAAUAUCUGUGAAGUAACUAGAAUAUGUAGUGUAGCGGUGAAAUGCUUAGAUAUUACAUGGAAUACCGAUUGCGAAGGCAGGUUACUAACAGAUGAUUGACGCUGAUGGACGAAAGCGUGGGUAGCGAACAGGAUUAGAUACCCUGGUAGUCCACGCCGUAAACGAUGGAUACUAGCUGUUUGGUUUUCGGACUGAGUGGCUAAGCGAAAGUGAUAAGUAUCCCACCUGGGGAGUACGGUCGCAAGACUGAAACUCAAAGGAAUUGACGGGGGCCCGCACAAGCGGUGGAGCAUGUGGUUUAAUUCGAUGAUACGCGAGGAACCUUACCAGGGCUUAAAUGUAGAUUGACAGAUUUGGAAACAGAUUUUUCUUCGGACANUUACAAGGUGCUGCAUGGUUGUCGUCAGCUCGUGCCGUGAGGUGUCAGGUAAGUCUAUAACGAGCGCACCCCUGUNGUNAGUUGCCACACGUAUGGUGGAACUCUACNAGAC
rnacentral:rRNA from 1 species